rnacentral:lncRNA from 1 species
CAAGAUACCCACCAGAGAGGAAAGAAAAAGAAAAUAUAGAGCAUCUCAUUCUCCUCAAAAAGUUUCAAAAGAGCAAGAAAGGUAUGUAUCCCCUCAAGAGAGCAAAAGUAGAAUUAGACUUUCACUAUUGUUAUUACCAUCAUCACCAUACAUUAUUCAUUCACCACACAUGCACAUCUUGAUUUGACUUAUUGACUUAUUUCUCUGGAUCCAUGGUUUGACUAUACAAUAAAUGUCUUGUAAGUAUGUAUACUUUAUCUCCCACCUAUGAGCUCCAGAUAUCAAAAGCCUUAUUAGAGUAGG